GGGAACCAGCUGGGUGGAGGCCACUCUAGGCCUGUCCAAGGGCAGGGUCUCCCUUGUGCAGUGUCUGCUGCUGCAUGACCUCUCCUUGAGGGUUGGCCCUUACUCAAUGCCUAUUUCUGUGCCUGGUCUGGCUGCUGGACUCAUGGUCCAUGAUAGAAGCCUGGCUUCGAGGAGUCCAGAAUAAGUAGGGGAAAUGGGGAGCAGAUGGUGACCAUGAGGGGUGGCAUGGGAUAACUAGGAAGGGCACACUCCAGCCAGGCUCACUAUUCUACACCCACAUCUGAAGCAGCAUCUCCAGGGACUCAGAACAUGCUGGGAAAGCCCAGUCAACAAGUCAGAUCUGCCUUGUUCAGUUAUUGCACCGUCUCCUGCCUGACUAGCAGCAGGCAUACCCCACCGUCCCAGCACCCCAUCUGGCCACAUUUCCUGAGAGGUCCACGUGGUUGGACAUAGACAUUCCAGCUUGACAUCCCUGUAGGGCGGUAAAGGUCUUGCUGUGCUAGAAUAUAAGGUUGACCAAGUAGAAUUCACGAACACUGAGUAGUGUGAGCUGGAGCCCAUCAGGACCUGUACUCACUCUCCUGGCCUGGGGGCAAGAUCUGGAAUUCAGAGGUUUAUGUGUACCCCACCAAACCUAUUGCUAAGAAGGAAUGCCACUGGCUAUAGAACAAAGAGAAGCAGUUGUGCAAUUCAUACUUGAAAGGUGUUAAUUGUUGAAAGCCAUUGUUAAUGCUGAGACUGAAAAUCUCAGUAGAGGCACUUUAUUGUGCCAGAGACACCCGGGACCAUGAAGACAUCUUCCUGGUAGGGGACAAUCAUUUCCACUCAGAGUGGGUAUUCAGUAUCAGGUGGGUAUGGCUUCCCCUCUCCCAGUCUGCUCCAGGGGCCAUCUGGAAGGGACAGUUGCCUCCACUUCUCCCCCACAGCAGGAAUCAAACAGCAUGAGCAAUAACAGCUUCCAGAACUGGGGCAGGACAUCCUUGGGCCAAAUAAUGUGGCUCGAGAAUGCAGCUGUUUCAGUCUGAAGGAAAUGCCCAGGCACUUCUAACCUGAGCUCACCUCCACCACUCUUGGGCUCAGCCACAAGCAAUCAUGUGCAAAGAUGACUCCUUUCCUGCAUGACUGGGAGCGACAUGUGUGACCCUUCCCAGGGCCCCUCCCAGCAAGGGCAGCAGAACCAUCUGGAAAGCCGAGCCACCCUGGGCACCGCCAGAGUGCUGAGGAAUUCUCAACGCUGAGACAGGGGCUCCCCGGAGACGAGUUCUGCACAAAACAUACCCAAGGACAGUCUGCAGCGUGGACAGAGGGCGGCCACCUCCGGCCCCCGGGGCGCCCCAGGACCCGCUCCACUCCUCUCCGCCUGUGUUGGACUAUCCCCUGCCUCCUGGCCUCCAAGACGGGGUGCUCCCUCCCUGCCUCCCGUGACACCGCACAUGACGGCCCUGGAGAAGCAAGGCCCAGACUGGACUGGGGAGGCACCCCCAGCAGCCCUGGGAAGCUGACAGCGCCC
rnacentral:lncRNA from 1 species